UKGGARRARAGUUGAUCCUGGCUCAGGAUGAACGCUGGCGGCGUGCCUAAUACAUGCAAGUCGAGCGAAUGGAUUAAGAGCUUGCUCUUAUGAAGUUAGCGGCGGACGGGUGAGUAACACGUGGGUAACCUGCCCAUAAGACUGGGAUAACUCCSGGAMACCGGGGCUAAUACCGGAUAACAUUUUGAACCGCAUGGUUCGAAAUUGAAAGGCGGCUUCGGCUGUCACUUAUGGAUGGACCCGCGUCGCAUUAGCUAGUUGGUGAGGUAACGGCUCACCAAGGCAACGAUGCGUAGCCGACCUGAGAGGGUGAUCGGCCACACUGGGACUGAGACACGGCCCAGACUCCYMCSSSMSSCMSCASUAGGGAAUCUUCCGCAAUGGACGAAAGUCUGACGGAGCAACGCCGCGUGAGUGAUGAAGGCUUUCGGGUCGUAAAACUCUGUUGUUAGGGAAGAACAAGUGCUAGUKAAUAAGCUGGCACCUUGACG
rnacentral:rRNA from 1 species